rnacentral:rRNA from 1 species
AUUGAACGCUGGCGGCAGGCCUAACACAUGCAAGUCGAGCGAGCGGCGGACGGGUGAGUAAUGUAUGGGGACUGCCCGAUAGAGGGGGAUAACUACUGGAAACGGUGGCUAAUACCGAAUACUAUAGGAUAACCCAUAUGGGAUUAGCUAGUUGGGGUGGUAAUGGCUCACCAAGGCGACGAUCCCUAGCUGGUCUGAGAGGAGGAUCGGCAACACUGGGACUGAGCAACGCCCCAGACUCGUACGGAGGCAGCAGUGGGGAAUAUUGCACAAUGGGCGAAAGCCUGAUGCAGCCAUGCCGCGUGGAUGAAGAAGGCCCUAGGGUUGUAAAGUACGUUCAGUCGGGAGGCGUUACCGACAGAAGAAGCAACGGCUAACUCCGUGCCAGCAGCCGCGGUAAUUC